rnacentral:rRNA from 1 species
GUCGACCGGCGCACGGGUGAGUAACACGUAUCCAACCUGCCCUCUUCCGGGGAACAACCUUGCGAAAGUAAGACUAAUGCCCCAUGUGUCCUCAGACGGCAUCAGACGAGGACGAAAGAUUUAUCGGAAGUGGAUGGGGAUGCGCCUGAUUAGGCAGUUGGCGGGGCAACGGCCCACCAAGCCGACGAUCAGUAGGGGUUCUGAGAGGAAGGUCCCCCACAUUGGAACUGAGACACGGUCCAAACUCCUACGGGAGGCAGCAGUGAGGAAUAUUGGUCAAUGGGCGAGAGCCUGAACCAGCCAAGUAGCGUGCAGGAUGACGGCCCUAUGGGUUGUAAACUGCUUUUGCGCGGGGAUAAAGUGCGCCACGUGUGGCGCAUUGCAGGUACCGCGCGAAUAAGGACCGGCUAAUUCCGUGCCAGCAGCCGCGGUAAUACGGAAGGUCCGGGCGUUAUCCGGAUUCAUUGGGUUUAAAGGGAGCGCAGGCCGCCCCUUAAGCGUGUUGUGAAAUGCCGCGGCUCAACCGUGGCACUGCAGCGCGAACUGGGGGGCUUGAGUGCGCGCAGCGCAGGCGGAACUCGUGGUGUAGCGGUGAAAUGCUUAGAUAUCACGAAGAACUCCGAUCGCGAAGGCAGCCUGCGGGAGCGCAACUGACGCUGAGGCUCGAAAGUGCGGGUAUCGAACAGGAUUAGAUACCCUGGUAGUCCGCACGGUAAACGAUGGAUGCCCGCCC